rnacentral:rRNA from 1 species
UACGUAGGGUGCGAGCGUUACUCGGAAUUACUGGGCGUAAAGCGUGCGCAGGCGGUUUUGUACGCCAGAUGUGAAAGCCCCCGGCUCAACUGGGGAGGGUCAUUCGAUACUGAUCGACUCGAAGGCAGGAGAGGGUAGUGGAAUUCCCGGUGUAGUGGUGAAAUGCGUAGAUAUCGGGAGGAACACCAGUGGCGAAGGCGACUACCUGGACUGUUCUUGACGCUGAGGCGCGAAAGCUAGGGGAGCAAACGGG